GCGAACGCGAUGUGAUCGAAGCGGAACUGAACGCGGGAUUUCCUCUACUUUCGCCUGAUCCUGAUAUUACGGAGCCUUCAACGCUGGAUUGCCCCAAGGACCUGGCCAGAAAAUUGCAUUUAGCUGCAGCUUAAC